UACGGAGGGUGCAAGCGUUAUCCGGAUUCACUGGGUUUAAAGGGUGCGUAGGCGGGUGGGUAAUUCCGGGGUGAAAUCUCUGAGCUUAACUCAGAAACUGCCGUGGAUACUAUUUGCCUUGAAUAUUGUGGAGGUGAGCGGAAUAUGUCAUGUAGCGGUGAAAUGCUUAGAUAUGACAUAGAACACCAAUUGCGAAGGCAGCUCACUACACAAUGAUUGACGCUGAGGCACGAAAGCGUGGGGAUCAAACAGG
rnacentral:rRNA from 1 species